AUCAGACUACUUAAUCGAUAGCGUGAAUUUCUAAUAGUUUGAGGUUGGUAUAAUUGUAUAAUUUGAUUAUUUCCUAGAUUAUUUCUAUGAUUUAUCCAUGCAAAUUGAACCUAUUCUAAAACAUGCACAUGCCUUAAAUCUAAACCUACAAUGUAUUCCUAAAAUUACAGUAAAACAAAUAGUUAGUCGUGAUUGUUAAGUUAUGGAAUAUUCUGAUUAACGAUCAAGAUAAAACAUAAGUAAGUACGGAUUAUUGAACAUUUAGACCUGAGUUUAAUCAGAAUUUUAUAUUACUAUAGCUUACCUAACCUCAGAAUCUGUUACUGGAAUCAGGAUUGGAUCUAUCUGGAUAGUAAGGAAACUAAUUUGUAAGUGAUCAUUGAAUUCAUUCGACAGAUGUUUGUUUAAAUAAAGUUAUUCCUUCCAGUCGAGUAGCGGGAAAAACCGUACUGCGAAGCCGUUUUUUAACAUCCUCGAAAAUUACUGCAUCCAAUCAGGUUCCAGCCAGUAAUGAGCAGUGCAGCGAUGCAGUCUGUCAACCACUGCAAGGCAUGCAAUCGGCCGGACCAUGCCGACGAUAUGGUUGCAUGCGAUAUUUGUGGAACUUGGUUCCACUACACCUGUGCAGGAGUUCAAGCCUCUAUCUGCAACAAGCCAUGGCAUUGUGGAUAUUGCUCCAGCCGGGACGACGGCACUAACAGCUCAGCGAUUUCGGUCAGCUCCGGAAGCUCGAAUGCCCGUUUGCGGUUGAGGCAGCUAGAAGAAUCUAAGGCGCUGGAAGAUCGCCUUCUACUGCAGCAAGCUGAACGCGAGCGAGCUUUUCUAGCCGAGAAGCAUCAGCUGGAGGCUGAGAUUCAGUCGGACAAGCAGCUUAGAGGCAGCACUUCUAGCUUUAGGAGCCGACACAGUGCUAGGAGCCGUCAAAGUUAUAGAAGCGAGGUAAGAGCGUGGAUCAAUCAAUCGGUAGAUACUCCAGCGAAGACGGUGGAUCAUCAACCAGGGGCGUCAACAUCGACACCUAUUGUUUCCACUGGGAACGUGGUUCUAGCGGUACCAGAAGAACAAACGGUAUCAGCUCAGCCGGUUUCUUCUCUCGAUCAUCCGAUGGUAACCCAGGGUCUUGCCAAUCAACCUCCAUUCGUGCACCCCAACGUUGGCCAGGUCACAUCGAUUCUCCCACCAAGUGAUUUGCCGUCAGUCGUCGCACCCGUCGUGUCAGUAGCUAACAGCGACCCACCGAAAACAAUGACAAACUGCACAACUAUUCAUCCUCCUGAGCAGUCGUGUUCAGUUCCGCUUAGCAACGUCGUCCACCAAGAACAGCAGAAACAACACCCACUGCAUCAGCCUAACCGGCAACUUCCACCGACCGUUCUGUCAGGUCCGAAGCAGCCAGUGCUUUCAGGUUCGAAUCCUUUGGGAAGUCACGUUUCUGCCCGUGUACGCUGUGGAAGUCAAGCUCAGCUGCCAGAUGCUCAGCUACCCAGGAUGCAGCACCAAAUUCAUCAACGGUUCCAGCCGUGUGGUCAACAAACUGGUCAGCCCUUUCCUCCAACACUGAACCAGAACGCCUCUUCGUUUCCAGCACAGUGGCCACGAAACGCAAGUGUGACUUUCGUCGACAACCAGCAGUAUUUCCCAACUGCAAACCAGAUUCCCGUUGUGCAACCGAUCGGCGCUUCUCACCCGAUGAAUUUCUACCAACCGUCGUACCCUCGAUGGUCAACAGAAUCGGUGCCACUCCAGCAAUCGAGUACAACUGUGGGAAAUGUAGCAGGAACCUACGCAUCGGAACCACAACUCGAUCCAGCAGGACAUUCUAAUCAGCAGACACUUUUUGGUCAAGCUUCGAGCUUCCACCGAGCACAGGCUGCUGAAGGCAUAUUGAGCGCACAGCAGUUGGCUGCACGACAAGUGGUAUCACGUGAGUUGCCUAAAUUUUCAGGUGAUCCUCUUGAGUGGCCAAUGUUUAUAAACGCGUUUGAGUCCACGACGGCCAUGUGUGGGAUUCAACCAGACGAGAAUCUGGCCAGGCUACAAAAAAGCUUGGUUGGCGCUGCUAGGGAGAAAGUCCAGAGCAUACUAACUCUGCCGACGGCGAUCCCAGAGAUCAUUGAAACUCUUCGCGACGAAUGUGGCCGACCGGAACAGCUAGUUCAUUGUCUGCUGGUCAAAAUUCGACACGCACCUCCGCCCAAUGUCAACAAGCUUGAGACGCUAAUCAGUUUCGGAAGGGAGGUCAGAAACCUGGUAACCUUCAUUGACGGGGCGAAUUUGCAAGACCACCUGUCGAACCCGAUGCUGCUGUCAGAAUUGGUAGGGAAACUACCUCCUAGUCUUCGCCUUGAAUGGGGUCUUCAUACGCAAAGGGUACCGCAGGUCUCGCUGAGGGCCUUCAGUGAUUACGUCACAUCCAUCAAAACUGCUGCGUGCAAAGUGUCGCUGCCUACUGAUUCGCAUUCGGACGAGUACCGAAGAAGUAAGAAGGAGAAAGGGGGGUUCAUUAACGCGCACACCGUGGAGGAGAAGAGGAGCUCCCCGGUAUCGAGCCCGAAAAAGGAAUAUCAUCCAAAAUCCGAAUCGUAUGUCCCUAAACCGUGCCCUGCGUGUAAUAAUAGUGACCAUAAGCUCCGUACCUGCGAUAAAUUCAUUGGCUUCGGUAUGGAGCAAAGGAAGCGUCUCGUCGAUCAGCUUAAACUAUGCCAACGUUGCCUGGGAAGCCACGGAAAGUGGCCGUGCAGAUCAAAGCAAAUCUGUGAAACCAACGGAUGUAAGGAACCUCAUCAUAGACUGCUCCAUCCUGCGAACACCAAACCAAACAAUGCUGAGCAUGCAGGCCCGUCAGGAAUUAUCUCGGCUCACUGUUCUCGCCAAGCCGGCGUGUUAUUCAAGGUGAUUCCUGUCACCCUCUCCAGCAAUGGCAAGUCCGUCUCAACCUUCGCAUUCCUGGACGAUGGAUCGAAUGUCACGCUGAUGGAAGAAGCUAUUGCUGAUGAACUUGGGCUGAACGGGAAUAUCAGUUCGCUAUGCAUCCAGUGGACAGGGAGCGUUACCAGGAAGGAACCGUCAUCUAGGCAAGUGGAGUUGCGCAUUUCCGGUGUCAACGGUGGACCAGAUUACGCCAUAUCAGGGGUCCAAACAAUACCGCACCUGGACCUACCGCAACAAAGCCUGGAUUAUGAAGAACUCUCCAAACUAUUUCCGCAUUUGAAAGGUCUUCCUGUUCGAAGUUUUUCGAAUGCAGUUCCUCGUAUUCUCAUAGGUCUGGAUAACGCCGCGCUGAAGUUAACGUUGGACAAACGCGAGAGGCGUAGCAGAGAACCGAUAGCAGCCAAAACGCGACUUGGGUGGACAAUAUUCGGAGGUGGACACCGAGGAAUGCCACAUACCGAUCACGUGAUGUUCCACAUGUGCAACUGUAGCGCAGACGAGUCUCUCCACAAGCUUGUUAACGACUACUUCGCAGUGGAGUCGCUCGGUGUGAACCCUUUGCCACCUUUAGAGUCUUCCGAAGAUCAACGAGCUCGGCAGAUUUUGAUGCAGUCCACAAAGCGGACCGAGUCUGGCAGGUUCGAAUGCGGCCUCCUAUGGAAGAGCGACGAUUUCGAGUUCCCUUCUAGCUACAGAAUGGCUGAACGUCGCUCAAUCUGUUUGGAAAAGAAAUUUGCCAAAAAUCCAGCGCUGAAAAUGAAGGUAGCAGAGCAGAUCGACGAGUAUCUGCAGCGCGGUUAUGCUCAUAUUGCUACCGAGGACGAGUUACAGCAGUCUGAUCCACGUCACGUCUGGUACCUUCCCCUAGGUAUCGUCCAGAAUCCUCGCAAACCUGAGAAACUUCGCAUCGUGUGGGACGCAGCGGCCCGUGUAGGAGAUGUGUCACUCAACUCCAUGUUACUGGUCGGGCCAGAUCUUCUAACCCCACUGCUCAAGGUCAUCUGUGGAUUUCGUCAACGGCAGUACGUUGCAGUUGGUGAUGUCCGCCAAAUGUUUCACCAACUGCUGGUCAAGGAAAGGGACCGCCAAGCCCAAAGAUUCUUAUUUCGAAUCGAUCCCGAGCAAGCGCCAACGGUGUACGUCAUGGACGUCGUUAUCUUCGGCGCAUCGUGCUCCCCGUGUUUGGCGCAGCAUGUUAAAAACACCAACGCCAAGGACUUUGAGGAAACGUUUCCAGAAGCGGCGGCGGCGAUCAUCAACUGUACAUACGUUGACGACUUUCUGGACAGCAGAGACACGGUAGAUGAAACUGUGAGGAUCGUGAAAGAAGUGCGCUUGAUCUUCGAUAAAGCUGGAUUCGAGAUUCGCAACUGGCAGUCUAAUUCUGAUGAGGUACUUCGACGGGUCGGGGUCGACAGCAACGAUACUGCAAGAUGCUUUUCAGUUGAGAAGUCUACGGUUGCCGAACGUGUUUUGGGGAUGACAUGGGAUCCCAAGGAUGACAUGUUCGAAUUUGAAACCCAGUUCCGUGAAGAUCUUCAUCCGUUAUUAUCCGGAAGCAUCGUCCCCACAAAAAGACAAGUUCUCCGGGUCAUAAUGAGCCAUUUUGACCCCAUCGGGAUCGUAGCUACGUAUACAGUGCACGGAAAAAUUUUGAUUCAGGAUGUUUGGAGAUCCGGUGUUAGUUGGGACGAUCCUGUGACGACAGAUGUUUUUGAGAAUUGGCAGCGAUGGGUUCGAUUGGCUCCGCAUCUGAGACAGGUUCGAAUUCCAAGGUGUUAUUUCCCGAAUUACCACCCGGACAGCUACGAUUCUCUCGAACUCCAUAUCUUCGUUGAUGCCAGCCUAAUGGCAUACUGUGCUGCAGCGUACUUCAGGAUUUCCGACGAAGGUUCACCACGCUGUGCCCUAGUAGCCGCGAAGACGAAAGUUACACCUCUAAAACCUCAAUCGGUUCCAAGAAACGAACUGUGCGCUGCGGUGAUUGGAGUGAGACUUCUAAGGAGCAUCCAGGAGAAUCACUCCAUACCAGUCCAGAAACGCUACAUGUGGACUGAUUCAACGACCGUUCUCGCUUGGUUGAGAGCAGAUCCUCGGAAGUUCCGGCAAUUCGUUGCUUUUCGGGUUGCUGAGAUUCAGUCAGAAACAAGUAUCGAUGAAUGGCACUACGUCCCAACAAACCUGAAUGUCGCCGACAAGGGUACCAAGUGGGGAAGCGGUCCGUGUUUCGAUCCAGAUAGUCCGUGGUUCACGGGACCAGCAUUUCUACAUCGAGCGGAAAAGGAGUGGCCGCGUCAACCGGCCAAAUACGCAGAGCCUCAGGAAGAGACUAAAGCUGUUCAACACCACGUUGCAGUGUGCGACUCAACUAACGAUUUCGGAAAGUUUUCUCGCUGGAAGGAUCUAGUGAAGAACCUGAGCUACCUGCAUCACUUCGUCCAUCGCUGCCGAACUCCUCACCGAGAAACGACUGGCAGUAGGAUUGCAGUUUUGGAGCAGCGAGAUUACGUAGCAGCAGAGGCAAGUUUGUGGCGAGUUAUACAAGGCGCAGAAUACCCCGAAGAGGUAUCCAUUCUGCGUAAGAAUUGUGAGAUGCCCAGUUACGAACGCAAGCCGCUGAACAAGAGCAGCUGCAUUCGAAAGUUGUCACCAUUUCUAGAUGACAAAGGUGUGUUGCGGAUGAGUAGUCGGAUCAACGAAGUUUCGCUGUAUUACUCGGCAGAAUUCCAAAAUCCGGUGAUAGUUCCUAGGGGUCAUCAUGUCACCAAGCUCUUGAUUCUUGAACAUCAUCAACGCUACGGACACGCGAACGUCGACACUGUUGUCAAUGAACUGCGCCAACGGUAUUACAUCCCCAAGAUUCGUUCUGAAGUGAAGAAGGUCGUGAAACAAUGUAUGUGGUGCAAAGUCUACCGAGCGAAACCUGCUGAGCCAAAGAUGGCUACUCUACCACAUCCAAGAGUAGCGCCUUAUGUUCGUCCGUUUACCUUUACCGGCUUGGAUUAUUUCGGGCCUUUGAUUGUGAAGCGGCGGCGAUGUAAUGAGAAACGGUGGGUGGCACUAUUUACAUGUUUAACCAUACGAGCGGUACAUGUUGAAGUAGUGCAUACGUUGUCAACGGAAUCGUGUAGACUGACAAUCCGCCGUUUCAUAUCCCGAAGAGGUGCACCGCAACAGAUAUUUAGUGAUAACGGUACCAAUUUUCGGGGAGCUGCUCGCGAGAUUGCCGAUGAGAUCAAAACUAUCAAUCGGGAACUGGCCAAUUCAUUCACCAAUGCUGAAAUCGAGUGGAUUUUCAACCCGCCCUCUGCUCCCCACAUGGGUGGUGUGUGGGAGCGAAAGGUACGCUCAAUCAAAGACGCGUUCAAAUCUUUACACCAUAAGCAACACUUGAACGAUGAGGAGCUGGCGACCUUUUUGACAGAAGCUGAAAUGAUUGUCAACUCCCAUCCGUUGACUUUCGUGCCGCUAGAAGACUCUACAGAAGAAGCAAUUACCCCCUACAACUUCUUGCUGAUGAGUUCGAGUGGCGCCAACACUGCAUCGAGAAUACCAAUAUCUGAAGAGAUCUCCUUAAGAGUAAAUUGGAAACUGAUGCAACAACUUUUAAACCAGUUUUGGAAGCGGUGGAUUCAAGGCUAUCUUCCUACCAUAGCACGUCGGACCAAGUGGUUCAACGAUGUCCGCCCGCUCCAAGUUGACGAUCCGGUAAUCAUCGUAGACGAGACGGUUCGUAACGGAUGGCUUCGAGGUCGUAUUGUGAAGGUCUACACAGCGAGUGAUGGUCAGGUCAGGAAGGUUGAUGUCCAGACAGCAUCAGGAUUAUACCAGAGACCAGCGAUCAAAGUAGCUUUGUUGGACGUUCUGCAGAGUGGUAAGGCCGUUCAAAGGUAAGGCAUUACGGGUCGGGGUGUUGCGGAAUACGAAUGAUAGGCCCUUUGGAUCUGCUCUACAUGGAGGCGGCGGGACGUUGCGUUGAACGUCAACCGUGACAUAUCGAUGACAGCAUUGAACCACGAGAGCAAAUAGCAAAUGAAAACAUUACCACAAGACCGUAGAGUUAAUGAAUAAUUUAAUUUGCAAUAACUUGUAUUAUUUCUACUAUAAAUAAUUGAAUUAUCAGACUACUUAAUCGAUAGCGUGAAUUUCUAAUAGUUUGAGGUUGGUAUAAUUGUAUAAUUUGAUUAUUUCCUAGAUUAUUUCUAUGAUUUAUCCAUGCAAAUUGAACCUAUUCUAAAACAUGCACAUGCCUUAAAUCUAAACCUACAAUGUAUUCCUAAAAUUACAGUAAAACAAAUAGUUAGUCGUGAUUGUUAAGUUAUGGAAUAUUCUGAUUAACGAUCAAGAUAAAACAUAAGUAAGUACGGAUUAUUGAACAUUUAGACCUGAGUUUAAUCAGAAUUUUAUAUUACUAUAGCUUACCUAACCUCAGAAUCUGUUACUGGAAUCAGGAUUGGAUCUAUCUGGAUAGUAAGGAAACUAAUUUUCGAGUAGCGGGAAAAACCGUACUGCGAAGCCGUUUUUUAACAUCCUCGAAAAUUACUGCAUCCAAUCAGGUUCCAGCCAGUAAUGAGCAGUGCAGCGAUGCAGUCUGUCAACCACUGCAAGGCAUGCAAUCGGCCGGACCAUGCCGACGAUAUGGUUGCAUGCGAUAUUUGUGGAACUUGGUUCCACUACACCUGUGCAGGAGUUCAAGCCUCUAUCUGCAACAAGCCAUGGCAUUGUGGAUAUUGCUCCAGCCGGGACGACGGCACUAACAGCUCAGCGAUUUCGGUCAGCUCCGGAAGCUCGAAUGCCCGUUUGCGGUUGAGGCAGCUAGAAGAAUCUAAGGCGCUGGAAGAUCGCCUUCUACUGCAGCAAGCUGAACGCGAGCGAGCUUUUCUAGCCGAGAAGCAUCAGCUGGAGGCUGAGAUUCAGUCGGACAAGCAGCUUAGAGGCAGCACUUCUAGCUUUAGGAGCCGACACAGUGCUAGGAGCCGUCAAAGUUAUAGAAGCGAGGUAAGAGCGUGGAUCAAUCAAUCGGUAGAUAC